UACAGAGGCCUCGAGCGUUAGGCGGAAUCACUGGGCUUAAAGCGCGUGUAGGCGGACUUCUAAGUACCUUGUGAAAUCCCACGGCUUACCCGUGGAACUGCUCGGUAUACUGGUUGUCUUGAGCUUUCUAGGGGCGAGCGGAACAAAUGGUGGAGCGGUGAAAUGCGUAGAUAUCAUUUGGAACGCCAAUGGUGAAAACAGCUCGCUGGGGAAAUGCUGACGCUGAGACACGAAAGCCAGGGGAGCGAACGGG
rnacentral:rRNA from 1 species